rnacentral:rRNA from 1 species
ACGUAGGGUGCAAGCGUUAAUCGGAAUUACUGGGCGUAAAGCGUGCGCAGGCGGUUAUAUAAGACAGAUGUGAAAUCCCCGGGCUCAACCUGGGAACUGCAUUUGUGACUGUAUAGCUAGAGUACGGCAGAGGGGGAUGGAAUUCCGCGUGUAGCAGUGAAAUGCGUAGAUAUGCGGAGGAACACCGAUGGCGAAGGCAAUCCCCUGGGCCUGUACUGACGCUCAUGCACGAAAGCGUGGGGAGCAAACAG